AGCUUUGCACAGUGGCAGUAUCAUAGCCAAUGAGGUUAAUCUGAGGUGCGAUGAUUGCUAAUUGAAAAAUAAAUAAAUAAAAAUGCAAUAUUGUGAAAGCAAAAUGGUUGUUGCUGAUGUAUUUACGAAAUCUCUUACUUUUCAGAG